rnacentral:rRNA from 1 species
CUUUUAAUACUGCCAAGCUAGAGUUUUGGAGAGGGAAGGGGAACUAACAGAGUAGCGGUGAAAUGCGUAGAUACUGUUAGGAACACCAGUGGCGAAGGCGCCUUCCUGGACAAUAACUGACGUUAAAGUGCGAAAGCGUGGGGAGCAAACAGGAUUAGAUACCCUGGUAGUCCACGCUGUAAACGAUGUACAUUAGGUGUAGGGGGUAUCGACCCCCUCUGUGCCGAAGCUAACGUGUUAAAUGUACCGCCUGGGGAUUACGGCCGCAAGGCUAAAACUCAAAGAAAUUGACGGGGGCCCGCACAAGCAGUGGAUUAUGUGGUUCAAUUCGACGAUACCCGAAAAACCUUACCAGUACUUGACAUCCGUGGAAUCUUGCAGAAGUGUGAGAGUGCCCGCAAGGGAGCCGCGAGACAGGUGGUGCAUGGCUGUCGUCAGUCUCGUGUCGUGAGAUGUUAGGUUAAGUCCUGCAACGAGCGCAACCCCCAUCGUAUGUUGCUACAUUUAGUUGAGCACUCAUGCGAGACUGCCCAUGGAAAGUGGGAGGAAGGUGGGGAUGACGUCAAGUCAUCAUGCCCCUUACGUUCUGGGCUACACACAUAAUACAAUGGGCGUUACAAAGAGUCGCAAGCGCGCAAGUGCAAGCUAAUCUCAAAAAAGCGCCCUCAGUUCGGAUUGUAGGCUGCAACUCGCCUACAUGAAGCUGGAAUUGCUAGUAAACGCAGAUCAGCAUGCUGCGUUGAAUACGUUCUCGGGCCUUGUACACACCGCCCGUCACACCAUGAAAGGUAGAAAUAACCGAAGCCGUUGCGCUAACCGCAAGGAGGCAGACGUCUAAGUUAGUG